rnacentral:rRNA from 1 species
GCUCAGAACGAACGCUGGCGGCAGGCUUAACACAUGCAAGUCGAGCGCCUCGCAAGAGGAGCGGCAGACGGGUGAGUAACGCGUGGGAAUCUACCCAUCUCUACGGAACAACUCCGGGAAACUGGAGCUAAUACCGUAUACGUCCUUCGGGAGAAAGAUUUAUCGGAGAUGGAUGAGCCCGCGUUGGAUUAGCUAGUUGGUGGGGUAAUGGCCUACCAAGGCGACGAUCCAUAGCUGGUCUGAGAGGAUGAUCAGCCACWUUGGGACUGAGACWCGGCCCAAACUCCUACGGGAGGCAGCWGUGGGGAAUAUUGGACWAUGGGCGAAAGCCUGAUCCWGCCWUGCCGCGUGAGUGAUGAAGGCCCUAGGGUUGUAAAGCUCU